GGGCGGUUAGCUCAGUUGGCUAGAGCGCGUCGUUGACGUCGAUGAGGUCAGAGGUUCAAAUCCUCUACCGCCCA
rnacentral:tRNA from 1 species